GAAAGCCAAUCUCAGUUCGGAUUGUAGGCUGCAACUCGCCUACAUGAAGCUGGAAUCGCUAGUAAUCGCGAAUCAGAAUGUCGCGGUGAAUACGUUCCCGGGUCUUGUACACACCGCCCGUCACACCACGAGAGUUUACAACACCCGAAGUCAGUGGCCUAACCGCAAGGAGGGAGCUGCCUAAGGUGGGGUAGAUGAUUGGGGUGAAGUCGUAACAAGGUAAC
rnacentral:rRNA from 1 species